CGCGUAUAGAAUCUACCUUUUACAGGGGGAGUAGCCUUUAGAAAUGAAGAUUAAUAUCCCAUAGUAUUGCGAAGUGGCAUCACUUUGUAAUUAAAGAUUUAUCGGUAAAAGAUGACUAUGCGUCCUAUUAGUUAGUUGGUAAGGUAACGGCUUACCAAGACUUCGAUAGGUAGGGGGUCCUGAGAGGGAGAUCCCCCACACUGGUACGUGAGACACGGACCAGACUCCUACGGGAGGGCAGCAGUGAGGGAAAUAAUUUGGGCGAAUAGGAGGGUAACGUACUGACCCACGCACUGCCGC
rnacentral:rRNA from 1 species